GGCUCGCUCCCGAGGGGCGUCCGGGCCGGGCACCGCCGCUGCAGUGCUAGUUUCUGGCAGAAACACCGGUGAUCCCCAGAAAUAUGCAGGGGCUGCAGAAGGCCAAGUAGAGUAGACGCCGCGCUCUCACCCACUCCCUAGCCGCCGCCACGCGGGCCCCGUAGACACCGCCCCCCCGCGCCUCCUUCGCCCCUUUCUCCCCGGCAGUUCAGGUUCCAGUCCCGCCGGCUCCGAAGAGCCCCCCCCCGCCCCCGCUCGGUCCUUGCCGCCCUCCCGGAGCGCGCGGCCCCCGGGGCGGCAAAGUUGUGACUACUUGGGCGCUAGUGGCUCGCGCCCCGUUCGCUCCGCGCCCCGCGCCGACAACUUCCCGCGGCUCGGCCCCACCGCGCCCCGGGCCCGCGCCUCCGGGGAUCCCGCGGGCCCCCAGCUUCCAGCCCCGGCGGCGCGCCGGGCAGCGCUUCGGCGGCGGCGGCGGCGGCGGCGGCAGUGGCGGCAGCUAAGGCGGCGGCGGCGGCGGCCCCACACUCAGCCGCCAAACUGGAGGAGCGCCGGAAGCCCGACCCCAGGAGGAUGGAGGAUGAAGCUGUCCUGGACAGAGGGGCUUCCUUCCUUAAGCAUGUGUGUGAUGAAGAAGAAGUAGAAGG
rnacentral:lncRNA from 1 species